UUAUUUAAAUAAUAAUUUAUUAUAUAUUUAAAUAACAAGGGCAUAAGAGUCUUUUACCAUUUAAUGAAAAAUGUAUUUUUGAAAAUGUCUCCUUAGUGGUGUUAAAAAUAAAAAGUGGUACCAUGAAAGUGGUAAACAUGUAAUUUCUCCUUUAUUAUAUAUAUAGAUAACAAGGAUAUGAGAGUCUUUUGCCACUUAAUGAAAAAUGUAGUUUUGAAAAUGUUCCUUUAGUGAUGCUAAAGAUGAAAAGUGAUACCUUAAAAAUGGUAAACCUAAAAUUUCCCCAAAAAUAUUUAAUUUAGUCAUAUUUACCCUUUUUAAACAAUUAUUCUUUGAGAAAUAUUUGACAAAAACAUUUAAUGAUAAAAACAUAUUUUAAUUUGAAAAAUUAUAAUAAAUAUAUUGUUACAAAACAUUCAAAUUCACAAAACCGCGGGCAUCCACCUAGUAACAAAUUAAAAAAAAAUCAUUUAAAAUACAUUUGAAAAAGCAACAAAUAAAAAAAUCGAAAAAGACACAUGUCACUCACACAGACUGUUGCUAACUGACUUAUGUUUUAUAGUGUGAAGGAUGUUUUAUAACUCAUCUUUUUUUUCUACUGUAAAUGAUAAUUUUAAUAAGAGUAAUUCCUCACCAAUCAAAUUUUAUGAAUGAAAAAUAUGUGAUUAGUUUUCUUUCUCGGAAGUGUAACCCAAUAAAUUGAAAUUGCCAAAUUGACAUGAAAAAAUGACGCCGGUUAAUAUUUAGCCAGCGUGGAAAAAGAACCGGCUCGGUUUAUGUUGGUAUCGUAAGAAUCCAAGACCGGUUCGAUUACAAAAUCCACCGACUCAAAAUUAAAAUAUAACUGUUAGGAGAAACGCGUGUUUAUCAAAGCACUUCGUGCUUUCCUUUUUUCCCCCAAGAAUGUGCUCGAUCGAAGUCGACUCUAUAUAACCAUUAGGAGACGCGAGUUCUCAAACGAAACCUUUUUUUUUUGGUCUCCUUAUGUUUCUUCGAAUAGUUUUAUCGAUCAUCUCUUCCAGAAACAGAGAGCCCUCUACGUUAACAGAUAUGUAAGUGUUUCGAUCGCUGUAAAUCGUGAAUUUGUAUCAAGAUUUCUAAGUUGCCCAUGAAAUUUUUGAUUUGCGAUUCGGUUUCUAAGGCUUCAAAGUUUGUCUAAUCGGUUAAUUUGAUCUAUUGAUCUUGCUCAGAGUUUCUUUUUCUCGUUAGUCUAUUUUAGGGUUUCUAAGUUUCGUGUAAAUACUUUUGCGAUUUACUUUUAAGUUUUUUUCGUUGGCUAGAGUUUAAGUUUUAUUCUCCGUCUAUGCUAGAGUUUCCCGUUUUGUCUUGAAGCUUUAUUUUGGUUUUCGUUUUGAGAUUCUUUCUUUCUUUCAUGUUUCGGGGAUUUUGAUCAAGCUUUGUUUUUUUUGGUUUUGUUUUGAUUUUUUUUCACUUGAAACCCAAAAAAGAUCAUAGGCAGACACUAAUCUAAUAGUGUUCUGCCAGAUUCUUAUUUGGGGACAAUGUCCCGUUGCUGCCUCUAUAAGACCAUCCCCUAGCACGAUUGUUAACUGGGAUAAUAUGGGUUUGGUAGUGCAUUGUAUCAGGGGAUGGCAAAAUAAGAUCCACUCGGCUCUAUAGUCUUUGAGAAAAAAGACUUUACUUACCCACGGCUUGGUUCAAAUAUGUUUUCAGUUCUUUGUAUGGUUUGAUAAAGUCUUAAGACAAAGACUUAAGAACUGAAAACAGAUUCUUGAAGGAUGUUAGGGGUGGCUAAUAAGACCCACUCGGCUCUAUAAUAUUGUCUUUAAGGCAAAAGACUUUACUUACCCACGGCUUGGUUCAAAUAUGUUUUCAGUUCUUUGAAUGUGAUGGUUUGAGAAAGUCUUAAGACAAAGACUUAAGAACUGAAAACAGAUUCUUGACUUACCCACGGCUUAUAAAAAUAGACAAUGGAUCAGCUCUAUAGUCUUCAAGACAAAAGUCUUCACUACCCGAGGCUUGGUUCAAAUCGGUUUUCAGUUCUUUGAAUUGGAUGGAUUUUAACGACCAACGGUUUGAGAAAGUCUUAAGACAAAGACUUUAAGAACUGAAAACAGAUUCUUGACUGUAUUACCCACGGCUUAUAAAAGUUGACAGUUGAUCGGUCAAAAGACUUUUUGGAUGGAAACAUUAUAGGAAAUACAAUGACAAUGGGGGCAGUUUUAAGGCUGGAUGAAUAUUAACGACCAGUGGCUUAGAACAUAUCAUUACGGGUUGGCAAAUAACACCAUACGACUCUAUUGUCUUAAAGACAAAAACACUUUUACUUACCCACGGCUUGACUCAAAAUAAUCUGUUUUCAGAUGUUAGAAGAGAAUGGAUUCAAAGACCCAACGGUUUGAGAAAGUCUUAAAGACAAAAAGACUAAAAACUGAAAGCAGAUUCUUGAUUGUACCCACGGCUUAUAAAUUCUCUGUCUUUGACAUAUUCAAUGACAAUGUGACAGUUUGGAGGCUUCCCCGAUUCUAAGAACGAUUCAUUGGACGAUGGCAAACAAAACACAUGACUCAAGAGUCUUAAAGACAAAAGACUAUACUAAAGACCUACAGCUAGACUCUCAAAAUCUGUUUUCAGAUAUAAGAAGGGAAUGGAGUUAAAAAAUUAACGGUUUGAGAAAGUCUUAAAGGUCCACACGGUUCAAUAGUCUUAAAACAAAAGACCCACUCAAAAUCUGCUUUCAGAUAUUAGAAGGGAACCGAGUUAAAAGACCAAAAAGUGAGAAAAAUCUGCAAACUGAAAACAGAUUCUUUACUGUACUGCCCACGGCUUAUAAAAUCUUUAGAGAAAGCAGGCAUCUGUUAGAAGGCCAGACAGAUUCAGUGACAAUGAGCAGUUUGGAGGUUUACUUGAUGGAAUAAACAAAAGCUUCUUAGAACAAGUGAUUGGAGGCAAACAAACCCACACGACUUAAAAGUCACUAGACCCACGGCUUUACAAAAGUAGACGAUUGAUCGGUUAAAAGACUUGUUGGUGUAUGGAAACAUGAUAGGGGCAGUUUCACGACUGGACCAGCUUCUUGGAACAAGUCAUUAGGAGAUGGUCUUUAAGACAAGAAUUUACUUACCCACGGCUUGACUCAAAUAUGUUUUCAGUUGCUUGAAUGAGAUGGAGUUUAACGACAGUCGAUUUAAGAAAGUCUUAAGACAAAGACUUUAAACUGAAAACAGAUUCUUGAAAGUUAGUACUUACUUACCCACGUCUUAUAAGUCUAUAGACAAAGACACCUAUCGGUUAAGAUUCUUUAGACAGAUUCAGUGACAAUGGGGGAGUUUGGAAGCUUGUUCUGUGGGAACAAACAAAUAGCUUCUUAGAACAAGUCACUGAAGGAUGGCUAAUAAGACCCACACGGCUCUGUAGUCUUUAAGACAAAAGAGUUAACCCAUGGCUUGACUCGACUCAGAUCUGUUUUUCAGUUACUUGAAUGAGGUGGAGUUUGACGACAAGAAACAAAGACGACAAACUGAAAACAGAUUUUUUACUGAACUAUCCACGGCUUAUAAAAUCUCUAGAGAAAGACAAUAUCGGUUAAAAAUCUUUAGACAGAUUCAAUGAUAUGGGGACCGUUUUGACGGUUCUCUGUAGUCUUUAAGAUAGAAGACUUUACUAUACCCACGGCUUGACAAAAAAUUUGUUUUCAGUUAUUAAAAGAUCAAUGGUUUGAGAAAGUCUUAAGACAAAGGCUUCAAACUGGAAACAGAUUCUUGAAUGUAAGUACUUACCCACGGCUUAUAUAGCCCUAUAGGUGUUCAGCUUUCAGCUUGUUGGAAGGAACAGACAACCAAAGACAAAGAUACAAUUGUUUCUCUACCACAAGGCUUAUAAGUGGGGUUUUGUUGGAUGAAAAAAAAAAAAGAGAACAACCAACAAAACUUCAAAAUAUUACGCAUUAAAUGUGAUUCUUACUGUAUCACUUAUGUCAUGAAGACAGACUAAUUCAUGAUCUGGGAGGUAACCAAGGGGCAUACUACUUUAUCUAAAGACUAAUUACUUUUUGAUUUCCUCAGGUUUGUGCUUCAAAAGGUGUUCAAAUCGUUAGAGAUUCUGAGGACAUUCCACGUGUAUCAGACUUCUGCAACAGUGGAACCUACAAAACGUGGAACUUGCUAUAGUCAUUAUUAUUCGGUUUUGGUAAACAAGCUUCGACAUAUACGAGAAGAAAAACAGCUCCAGUUUCAGUGAUAGCAAAAACCUGGUUCCAUGUAUCUGAAAAAUACACACAUUAAAUUUCUUUUGAUGCAUAGUGCUUAGAAUCCAUGGUCUGCAUGAUUUUUUAUGAUAUGUAACCUCGAUAAACCAUGAAGAACAAAAAACUGAUUUGUGUAUCCGAUUUGAAUUGCUUAUAUAUCUUUUUGUAAAGCUACAGUUGAUCGAAUGAUUUACAGAAUGUUCUCUCUGCUAUAUAAUAAAGAUGAACCAACAAAAACACAACAUGAUUUGUCAGUACGAGAUGAAUUUCUUAUAUAGUUUUGUAAAACAACAUAUAUAUAUAUAUAUUACAUUGUAUAUUAUCAUAUAAUUAUUACACAUUUAUUAGUUUUAUAAAGCAACAUUUGAUUCAAUGUUUUUAUUCCAAAUAUUUAUAUAUAUUAAAUUUUAUGAAAACCAUAUUAUAAUGUUAAGCAUAGAACAAAAAUUCAAGAUCAAAACUAUAUGUUCGGUCAGUUCAAAAAAAAAAACUAUAUGUUCGUUAGAUAGACUUUUUUUAACCUAUCUCAAUGGGUUUAUAGUUUGGCUUUGAUUUAGCCAAGGAUUUUAGGUAGCGAAUAUAUAUAUAUAUAUAUAUUACUUCAUCACAAAAGAUAAAUAUGAAAUAUAUAAGAGAUAUACUCCUUCCAUUCUUUAAUAAUAGACUUUCUAGAAAAAACGUUUGUUUCAGAAAGAUGUAUUUUUUGUGUUUUCUAUGAAAAAAUUGUAAACUUCAAGAAAAUUAAUUGACUUUAUUGAAUUGCUAUUGGUUAAAAGUUACUGAAAAUUAAAAAUUACAGAAACUGAUACAUUUAUUAUGGUAGUUUAAUGUGUUUUCUUAAUAUGUGUGAAAAUACUAAAAAAUCUAUCUUUUAGGAACAGAGGGAGUACUAAAUUUCAUAGAUAUUUGAAAAAAGUACGAACGUUAGCUCCAAUAUUUAUUAGUAAGGAAUGAACAUAAACUGGUGAUCCAAAAGUAGUUAUUGUUUUAAUAAAUGGUGAUGCAAAAGUAUAUAUAUUGGUCUACGGUCAGUUACGAUAUUGAAUAUUAAUUGUUUUCCAUAGUUAGGAACGAUAAUAUAAUACUUAUCCAAUUUGCUUAACAUUUCUUGCGUGAAUGUUGGGAAAUCUAGCAAUGAAACAUAUUUACACAAUAUUUGUUUAUAUUCAAUUAACGUGUCCCUAUACCUUAAGUUUGAGGACUAUAGGGGCGACUGGUUUUCUCGCUAUCACCCGCAAACGCAGUUUUUCCGGUUGGUAACGGUUGUUGGUGGUUUGCAACAAUCACUCAAAUCGCUCUAAACCAUUUCAAACCGUUCCGAAUCUCAUAAAUUCAAAAGCUGACUCCAGGUAGCGUUUGCGGUUGCGGACGGUUGCAGGAGGGUAAAUUUUUUUACUUUUUUUUAAAACAAUAUAUAUACAAAAGUAAAAAUAUUUAAUAAAAAUUUUAAAAUUGAAAUUAUGAAAAGGGCAAUUGUCAAUAAUAGCACCUUUUGAGUGUUUGUCUCAAAAAUGGUACUAGAAGGAGAAAUUCACAAAAAUGACAUUCAUUAAAGGAUAAAAUAUCCUUAAUACCUUUGGUUUAAAAUUAAAUAAACAAACAAAAAUAAAUAACAACAAAUAAAAUAAAACAAAAAAAUGAAAAAAAAAAUUUUAUAUGUUUUCAGAUUCAAAAUUUUUUAUAAUUUUUUUCUGAAAUUUUUUUUAUUUUUUUUUCAAAUUUUUUUUUUUAAUUCGAAAAUACUUUUUGAAACCGUUUUUAAUUUUUUAAUUUUUUAGUAUUUAUUUUUUAUUUUAUAAAAUUUUAAACCCUAAUUCCAAAACUCCACCCCUUAACUCUAAACCCUAAGGUUUGGAUUAAUUAACCCAAGGGGUAUAAGUGUAUAUUUACCUCUUUUAUGAAACCUAUUUUUGUGACUUUGAGCCUUGAGUGCUAGUUUGGGAACAAAAACUUGGUUUGGUGAUAUCCUAGUAUUUUUCUC